rnacentral:rRNA from 1 species
UACGUAGGUGGCAAGCGUUGUUCGGAAUUAUUGGGCGUAAAGGGCGCGUAGGCGGUUUGUUAAGUCGGCUGUGAAAGCCCGGGGCUCAACCCCGGAGGGUCAGCCGAUACUGGCAGACUAGAGUCCGGAAGAGGAGAGUGGAAUUCCCGGUGUAGCGGUGAAAUGCGCAGAUAUCGGGAAGAACACCCGUGGCGAAGGCGGCUCUCUGGGACGGUACUGACGCUGAGACGCGAAAGCGUGGGGAGCGAACAGG